ACGAACGCUGGCGGCGUGCUUCACCCAUGCAAGUCGAACGGAAAGGCCCUGCUUGCAGGGUACUCGAGUGGCGAACGGGUGAGUAACACGUGGGUGAUCUGCCCUGCACUUCGGGAUAAGCCUGGGAAACUGGGUCUAAUACCGGAUAGGAGCCAUUUUUAGUGUGAUGGUUGGAAAGUUUUUUCGGUGUAGGAUGAGCUCGCGGCCUAUCAGCUUGUUGGUGGGGUAAUGGCCUACCAAGGCGGCGACGGGUAGCCGGCCUGAGAGGGUGGACGGCCACAUUGGGACUGAGAUACGGCCCAGACUCCUACGGGAGGCAGCAGUGGGGAAUAUUGCACAAUGGGCGCAAGCCUGAUGCAGCGACGCCGCGUGGGGGAUGACGGCCUUCGGGUUGUAAACUCCUUUCGCUAGGGACGAAGCUUUUUGUGACGGUACCUAGAUAAGAAGCACCGGCUAACUACGUG
rnacentral:rRNA from 1 species